rnacentral:rRNA from 1 species
UACGUAGGGUGCGAGCGUUAAUCGGAAUUACUGGGCGUAAAGCGUGCGCAGGCGGUUUGUUAAGACAGAUGUGAAAUCCCCGGGCUUAACCUGGGAACUGCAUUUGUGACUGGCAAGCUAGAGUAUGGCAGAGGGGGGUAGAAUUCCACGUGUAGCAGCGAAAUGCGUAGAGAUGUGGAGGAACACCGAUGGCGAAGGCAGCCCCCUGGGCCAAUACUGACGCUCAUGCACGAAAGCGUGGGGAGCAAACAGG